UGUGUGCUGAGACCUCAGAGUAGUCGGUGCGGCAAUGACGACAGCGUCGCCUUUGCCAAUGACUACGACUUCGACUAUGACUCUGGCUAUGGCUCUGGCUCUGGCGAUAUUCUGUUCUUUCGUUUGGAAUACCCUGGGGAUUCGGUGGGUAUGCGUAAUACAUCGUACUUCUGUGUAGGUCUUAAUAUUUAAUCUUUAAUUUUGGGGACUUCCGUUUGGUCACUGUUUUCGUAUUAU
ensembl:ncRNA lncRNA:CR45638 long non-coding RNA:CR45638